CAGUAAUUUCAAAAAAGAGGGAUCCUAACCAAGCUGAAUCUUCAAGACUAUCCAUCCCAUUCCUAAGUGACCAGAGACUUCCAAAAGGUCAAAGCUCAGAUUGGCCAAACGUCUCCUCUUCAUUGGCAUCAUUUAUUAGCUCAGAGGUCGAGGGAAAUGGGCUCUCAACGAAUAAGAUCCGAUCAGAGUCAAGUCCUGAGCUGGCACCAAAAAACUCACCGUUAAUCAUCACACAUCACUUGGAUAGCUCAAUACGAGCACCCUCAUUAUCCAGAG